CCGAAUCUAUAUUCAAUUAAAGGAAAAGAAAGAGGUAAAAAAUUCUAAAGAUGGGAAGAAAAGAAACAACUUUGAAA
rnacentral:lncRNA from 1 species